UGAGGGAAUUGAUAAACCAUGAAUUUUACCAGCUUUUAGCCAUGUUAUAUAAGUAUUUUAGAGUCUGUUUACUAUGUUUUGAAGUUUUUUUAAAGUAUUUAUUGGUCCAUGAGUGUCUUGGAGCAAUGUGGUGAUUUUGGAGCAUUUUGAAGAUAAAGUUAGAAGAAACUCGUAGAUCGAACCAGCCGAGAGUCGACAUCAGAGUCAAACGUCGAUCGACAAACAUCACAUGUCAUCGAUCCACAGUGUGGCGCAAGAAGCAUGCCACAUGUCAUGACCAUCUUAUAGUCCAAAUUCCAAAACAAUUACAGAACUACCCCUGACCAACUUUAACCUAAUAUUAAUGUGCUCUGCAAUUGUCUU
rnacentral:lncRNA from 1 species